UUUGUAAGGUUGAUAUCAGAGAACGUUUUGCCUGUGUUCUCUUCUAGAAGUUUAAUGGUAUCUUGUCCUACAUUUAAGCCAUUGAGUCUUUAAGCAAGACUUCAUUGAAUUUAUUUUUGUGCAUAGUGUGAGGGUGUGUUCCAGUUUUGUUGAUGUACAUGCAGCUGUCCAGUUUUACCAGCACCACUUGCUGAAAAGACUGUCUUUUCCCCAUUUUAUGUUCUUGCCUCUUUUGUAAAAGAUUAAUGGAUAUCUGGGUAAGUUGUAAAUUUCUGAAUGGGAAAAUGAAAUGUAGAAUGCAAGAGUCAAUGACAGUAAAUUUUCUCUUCUUUUUAUUCUAAAUUCUUAAAAAAAUGGGUAAAUGAAACAUAGCAUACAAGAAUCAAAGGUGAUAAAUUUUCUUUAUCUUUUUAAACAUCAACUGUGCUUUAUGUUGUUGAAAAUGGACACAUUGGAACAGAUGAAGGAUGAUUCCAUGGUGAUGGACCUUGUGAUUGCAUAUCUGUGUUACAAGCACAAGGAACAAUGUGAAUAUCAGUUAGGUUUCUUGUCUGGGUUUAAGUGAUUACUAUUCAUCUAUGCAGAAAUCAGUGUGUUGUUUAAAAAUUCCGUAGAGAAUAACAGAAUGCUAGAUUUAUUUCAGUGCUAAAUAUUGAAUUUUAGGAAACACUAAUUACUUACACUAUAGAAGAAAAACACCAUCUAGUUGAAAAAGAGAUAUCUCACUGUGAGAAUGACCUAUUUACAUAAUAGGGAGGUUAUGACUUCUUGAGUUUGGGGGAAAAUAGAGCUAGAAAAUUAUUAUUAGCAAUUUACUGAGUUAGUCAACAAACAAACAGAAAUGGCCCCAGAGAACCACUGCAUUUUUUUAAUUGAGUCAACAAAGAAAUUAGAGUGUUAAGUAGGAAAGGGGGACAGUAUUGGAUCGAUGAUGACUACUGGUGGCGUAUGAGUCGUGUACGAUGAAUACGUGUCUGGAACGCUGAGGUCCAGUGUCCUCUGUGCCGUGACCCCGCGGGCGAGGCCAGGCAUCCAGGGGGGCCGUCCGUGUGUCCUCUGGGGGGCCCUCCUGGUGCUUGCGUUUGCCCAGUGGGCCAGUGGGAGCCCCUGUGGACCAGCCUGCCAGAACUGAAGGAGGAGAGCGAGGGAGGGCCGGCAUUCCCAAGGUGCCAGGUCCCUGGUGACCCCACCCCCCAUGGUCUGCCUCUUGCCAUGCCAUGGGCUGCAGGUUGGCCAGAGGUCUUGGGCUGAUGUCCCCGAGGCUGAGGCCGUGGGGCAAGGGUGAGGUAGGCAGGGUCAGGGAGGGCCCACCUCUGUCCCGGGGCUGGGCGGCCAGCUGGUGGUUGGUGGGUGUCCCGAGACAGGGCUGUGCCCUGCCAGCAGGGUUGCCCCGAUGGAGGCGUGCAUGUGGAAGCCGCGAGCCUGGAGAAUGGCUGUGCCAUUGGGUCUCCUGCUCUUGGCUUUGUACUCUUCAGCAGGCAGCCGCCAGGCCCGAAGGCCGGCUCCUUCCUGGAUGAGCAGGCGAGGAUGGCAGCGUUGUCUUUGGAGCCAGGGGACCAGUGGUGGAAGCCGAAGGCCAGGCCAGGCUGCGUGGGGCCGAGACCCCUCCUCUGGCGGUGGUGGCAGGAGAGAUCCCAAGGUGAGGCAUGGCCUCGGGCUGUCUUGGUUUGGGUCAUCGGGGCCAGUGUUUUCCAUGUCUUUAAAAUGUCCUAUGUAGAAUCCCCAGGUGACUAAUCGUCCUUUGAGAACUAAGGCAUGAACCUUUAUGCUGGUUAAUUGACAAUAGGGAUUUCACCAAAGGAAGAUACAAUCUCUUUUGGUACUACUUAGAUCAUCAGGGAUAUUCAAGUGUCUUGUACUCUGAUUUUCGUUAAUCAAGUACUUCUUGUUAUGAAGGAAACAUUAAAUUGAUCCCAAAACAUGAACAUGGGAAGUGACAUUGGCCUAAUGUACCCGUGAUGAUUAGAACAUGGGUCAGGUCCCAGUGGUGAGUCAUGAAUGACGCAUGAUAAGGGUCUGAAGCCCUGUGGCCCCACACAGUCCAUCCUCUUUGGCUCUGUUUAGGCCAUCCUGUGGACAGGUGUUAGGAACACAGAAAGUUCGGGUUCUUACAGCGUAUACGUUUUCAAAGUAUUCAUACAGCAAGGAGAACACCAUGAAAGUUAUAGAUAAUAGUUGAAGAGCAUAUGUUGUUGUCUAAUUAUGAGCAAAUAUGUUGAAGAAAGAAAUAUUAAUCAAAAUUGCCAACAGCAGCGCUCCUUAUGAGAUAAGUCAGUCAAACGGUCACCUUUGUGGCCAAUUAUCAGAGAGACUUGAAGAGUUGUAAGUGUUAGAAAUUUCCUGUAUUGUUGUGAGUCAGUUUCAAGUUUGAGGUAGUUCUUUCAGUCAAGAGACAAAACAGUCUCUAAAGCAUGGCUAUGCUUUACAUUGUUAAGUAACAGGGCAGAUGAAAUGUAGAGGCAAGACGCGACGGUGAUCCCUUUUCUUUUCUUUCUCUUUUUCAUCAUUGGCUGUGCUUUGUGCUGUCAAACGUGCUCACGCUGGAGCGGAUUGAGCGUGAUCCCACGGUGACGUCCCAGGUCUUCUUGGGUGUUGAGAAUGAUUGAGUGUCUGAAUGACUGUGUGGGAAUUGCUGAAUCCGUCAAUGAAGUAAUACACGUGAAGGAGGCACAGAGACCCCGUCACGGACCAGUGAUGAGGCGCGUGACGGGAAGAGUCCUGAAGGAAGAAAGCAUCUCUGAAACUCUGAGGAUGAAGGCGUUAGAGAUGGUUGAACAUCUGCCACGGGCACGGGCUCGGUGGUUGCCUCUAUAUAGUAGAAUGGAGAUUAAUGUGAGUAACGGCUGAGUUUCUUUGCUUGGACUUUUUCGAUUCGAGUGAUUACUGUACUAUUAAGAAAUGUGGGGGAGUUUCCUGACAGCGGUGGGUUAAGGAUCCGGCUUUCCCUGGGUCGGUGCUGUGGUGUGGGUUUGAUGACGGGCGUGGGAACUUUCUUGUGCCACAGUCCCGGGGAAGAAAAUAAGUAAAUCCGGGUACGGAAUCCAAAAGAAAUGCAGAAUCUAAGUAGCGGAGGCAGCGGCAUCUGAGUGUUGAGUAUGGAGUAUAGACCAUGAUAUAGAUUAAGGCACCUAUAGCGAAAGAGAGCGUUGGUCUGAGAUGUGUUAGGGGAAGAAUGAUUCGAGGUGCUUGUUUAGUAUGUUGUUUGUAAAAGGUACUUCUAAAAUGAUUCCUCACUUUUUGAUUUGAUUAAUUUAUUUUGGUCCUUGUGUGGAAAACAGAAGUUUCCAGGCCAAGGAUCCAAUCCCGGCCACAGUAGUGACAAGGCUGAUCCUUAAGUGCUCGGCCCCAGAGAACCACUGCAUGUUUUCAAUUGAGUCGACAAAGAAAUUAGAGUGUUAAGUAGGAAAGGGGGACAGUAUUGGAUCGAUGAUGACUACUGGUGGCGUAUGAGUCGUGUACGAUGAAUACGUGUCUGGAACGCUGAGGUCCAAUGUCCUCCGUGCCGUGACCCUCGCGGGCGAGGCCAGGCAUCCAGGGGGGCCGUCCGUGUGUCCUCUGGGGGGCCUUCCUGGUGCUUGCGUUCGCCCAGUGGGCCAGUGGGAGCCCCUGUGGACCAGCCUGCCAGAACUGAAGGAGGAGAGCGAGGGAGGGCCGGCAUUCCCAAGGCGCCAGGUCCCUGGUGACCCCACCCCCCAUGGUCUGCCUCUUGCCAUGCCAUGGGCUGCAGGUUGGCCAGAGGUCUUGGGCUGAUGUCCCCGAGGCUGAGGCCGUGGGGCAAGGGUGAGGUAGGCAGGGUCAGGGAGGGCCCACCUCUGUCCCGGGGCUGGGCGGCCAGCUGGUGGUUGGUGGGUGUCCCGAGACAGGGCUGUGCCCUGCCAGCAGGGUUGCCCCGAUGGAGGCGUGCAUGUGGAAGCCGCGAGCCUGGAGAAUGGCUGUGCCAUUGGGUCUCCUGCUCUUGGCUUUGUACUCUUCAGCAGGCAACCGCCAGGCCCGAAGGCCGGCUCCUUCCUGGAUGAGCAGGCGAGGAUGGCAGCGUUGUCUUUGGAGCCAGGGGACCAGUGGUGGAAGCCGAAGGCCAGGCCAGGCUGCGUGGGGCCGAGACCCCUCCUCUGGCGGAGGUGGCAGGAGAGAUCCCAAGGUGAGGCAUGGCCUCGGGCUGUCUUGGUUUGGGUCAUCGGGGCCAGUGUUUUCCAUGUCUUUAAAAUGUCCUAUGUAGAAUCCCCAGGUGACUAAUCGUCCCUUGAGAACUAAGGCAUGAACCUUUAUGCUGGUUAAUUGACAAUAGGGAUUUCACCAAAGGAAGAUACAAUCUCUUUUGGUACUACUUAGAUCAUCAGGGAUAUUCAAGUGUCUUGUACUCUGAUUUUCGUUAAUCAAGUACUUCUUGUUAUGAAGGAAACAUUAAAUUGAUCCCAAAACAUGAACAUGGGAAGUGACAUUGGCCUAAUGUACCCGUGAUGAUUAGAACAUGGGUCAGGUCCAGUGGUGAGUCAUGAAUGACGCAUGAUAAGGGUCUGAAGCCCUGUGGCCCCACACAGUCCAUCCUCUUUGGCUCUGUUUAGGCCAUCCUGUGGACAGGUGUUAGGAACACAGAAAGUUCGGGUUCUUACAGCGUAUACGUUUUCAAAGUAUUCAUACAGCAAGGAGAACACCAUGAAAGUUAUAGGUAAUAGUUGAAGAGCAUAUGUUGUUGUCUAAUUAUGAGCAAAUAUGUUGAAGAAAGAAAUAUUAAUCAAAAUUGCCAACAGCAGCGCUCCUUAUGAGAUAAGUCAGUCAAACGGUCACCUUUGUGGCCAAUUAUCAGAGAGACUUGAAGAGUUGUAAGUGUUAGAAAUUUCCUGUAUUGUUGUGAGUCAGUUUCAAGUUUGAGGUAGUUCUUUCAGUCAAGAGACAAAACAGUCUCUAAAGCAUGGCUAUGCUUUACAUUGUUAAGUAACAGGGCAGAUGAAAUGUAGAGGCAAGACGCGACGGUGAUCCCUUUUCUUUUCUUUCUCUUUUUCAUCAUUGGCUGUGCUUUGUGCUGUCAAACGUGCUCACGCUGGAGCGGAUUGAGCGUGAUCCCACGGUGACGUCCCAGGUCUUCUUGGGUGUUGAGAAUGAUUGAGUGUCUGAAUGACUGUGUGGGAAUUGCUGAAUCCGUCAAUGAAGUAAUACACGUGAAGGAGGCACAGAGACCCCGUCACGGACCAGUGAUGAGGCGCGUGACGGGAAGAGUCCUGAAGGAAGAAAGCAUCUCUGAAACUCUGAGGAUGAAGGCGUUAGAGAUGGUUGAACAUCUGCCACGGGCACGGGCUCGGUGGUUGCCUCUAUAUAGUAGAAUGGAGAUUAAUCAGGCAGCCGCCAGGCCCGAAGGCCGGCUCCUUCCUGGAUGAGCAGGCGAGGAUGGCAGCGUUGUCUUUGGAGCCAGGGGACCAGUGGUGGAAGCCGAAGGCCAGGCCAGGCUGCGUGGGGCCGAGACCCCUCCUCUGGCGGUGGUGGCAGGAGAGAUCCCAAGGUGAGGCAUGGCCUCGGGCUGUCUUGGUUUGGGUCAUCGGGGCCAGUGUUUUCCAUGUCUUUAAAAUGUCCUAUGUAGAAUCCCCAGGUGACUAAUCGUCCCUUGAGAACUAAGGCAUGAACCUUUAUGCUGGUUAAUUGACAAUAGGGAUUUCACCAAAGGAAGAUACAAUCUCUUUUGGUACUACUUAGAUCAUCAGGGAUAUUCAAGUGUCUUGUACUCUGAUUUUCGUUAAUCAAGUACUUCUUGUUAUGAAGGAAACAUUAAAUUGAUCCCAAAACAUGAACAUGGGAAGUGACAUUGGCCUAAUGUACCCGUGAUGAUUAGAACAUGGGUCAGGUCCCAGUGGUGAGUCAUGAAUGACGCAUGAUAAGGGUCUGAAGCCCUGUGGCCCCACACAGUCCAUCCUCUUUGGCUCUGUUUAGGCCAUCCUGUGGACAGGUGUUAGGAACACAGAAAGUUCGGGUUCUUACAGCGUAUACGUUUUCAAAGUAUUCAUACAGCAAGGAGAACACCAUGAAAGUUAUAGGUAAUAGUUGAAGAGCAUAUGUUGUUGUCUAAUUAUGAGCAAAUAUGUUGAAGAAAGAAAUAUUAAUCAAAAUUGCCAACAGCAGCGCUCCUUAUGAGAUAAGUCAGUCAAACGGUCACCUUUGUGGCCAAUUAUCAGAGAGACUUGAAGAGUUGUAAGUGUUAGAAAUUUCCUGUAUUGUUGUGAGUCAGUUUCAAGUUUGAGGUAGUUCUUUCAGUCAAGAGACAAAACAGUCUCUAAAGCAUGGCUAUGCUUUACAUUGUUAAGUAACAGGGCAGAUGAAAUGUAGAGGCAAGACGCGACGGUGAUCCCUUUUCUUUUCUUUCUCUUUUUCAUCAUUGGCUGUGCUUUGUGCUGUCAAACGUGCUCACGCUGGAGCGGAUUGAGCGUGAUCCCACGGUGACGUCCAGGUCUUCUUGGGUGUUGUGAAUGAUUGAGUGUCUGAAUGACUGUGUGGGAAUUGCUGAAUCCGUCAAUGAAGUAAUACACGUGAAGGAGGCACAGAGACCCCGUCACGGACCAGUGAUGAGGCGCGUGACGGGAAGAGUCCUGAAGGAAGAAAGCAUCUCUGAAACUCUGAGGAUGAAGGCGUUAGAGAUGGUUGAACAUCUGCCACGGGCACGGGCUCGGUGGUUGCCUCUAUAUAGUAGAAUGGAGAUUAAUCAGGCAGCCGCCAGGCCCGAAGGCCGGCUCCUUCCUGGAUGAGCAGGCGAGGAUGGCAGCGUUGUCUUUGGAGCCAGGGGACCAGUGGUGGAAGCCGAAGGCCAGGCCAGGCUGCGUGGGGCCGAGACCCCUCCUCUGGCGGAGGUGGCAGGAGAGAUCCCAAGGUGAGGCAUGGCCUCGGGCUGUCUUGGUUUGGGUCAUCGGGGCCAGUGUUUUCCAUGUCUUUAAAAUGUCCUAUGUAGAAUCCCCAGGUGACUAAUCGUCCCUUGAGAACUAAGGCAUGAACCUUUAUGCUGGUUAAUUGACAAUAGGGAUUUCACCAAAGGAAGAUACAAUCUCUUUUGGUACUACUUAGAUCAUCAGGGAUAUUCAAGUGUCUUGUACUCUGAUUUUCGUUAAUCAAGUACUUCUUGUUAUGAAGGAAACAUUAAAUUGAUCCCAAAACAUGAACAUGGGAAGUGACAUUGGCCUAAUGUACCCGUGAUGAUUAGAACAUGGGUCAGGUGCCAGUGGUGAGUCAUGAAUGACGCAUGAUAAGGGUCUGAAGCCCUGUGGCCCCACACAGUCCAUCCUCUUUGGCUCUGUUUAGGCCAUCCUGUGGACAGGUGUUAGGAACACAGAAAGUUCGGGUUCUUACAGCGUAUACGUUUUCAAAGUAUUCAUACAGCAAGGAGAACACCAUGAAAGUUAUAGGUAAUAGUUGAAGAGCAUAUGUUGUUGUCUAAUUAUGAGCAAAUAUGUUGAAGAAAGAAAUAUUAAUCAAAAUUGCCAACAGCAGCGCUCCUUAUGAGAUAAGUCAGUCAAACGGUCACCUUUGUGGCCAAUUAUCAGAGAGACUUGAAGAGUUGUAAGUGUUAGAAAUUUCCUGUAUUGUUGUGAGUCAGUUUCAAGUUUGAGGUAGUUCUUUCAGUCAAGAGACAAAACAGUCUCUAAAGCAUGGCUAUGCUUUACAUUGUUAAGUAACAGGGCAGAUGAAAUGUAGAGGCAAGACGCGACGGUGAUCCCUUUUCUUUUCUUUCUCUUUUUCAUCAUUGGCUGUGCUUUGUGCUGUCAAACGUGCUCACGCUGGAGCGGAUUGAGCGUGAUCCCACGGUGACGUCCCAGGUCUUCUUGGGUGUUGUGAAUGAUUGAGUGUCUGAAUGACUGUGUGGGAAUUGCUGAAUCCGUCAAUGAAGUAAUACACGUGAAGGAGGCACAGAGACCCCGUCACGGACCAGUGAUGAGGCGCGUGACGGGAAGAGUCCUGAAGGAAGAAAGCAUCUCUGAAACUCUGAGGAUGAAGGCGUUAGAGAUGGUUGAACAUCUGCCACGGGCACGGGCUCGGUGGUUGCCUCUAUAUAGUAGAAUGGAGAUUAAUCAGGCAGCCGCCAGGCCCGAAGGCCGGCUCCUUCCUGGAUGAGCAGGCGAGGAUGGCAGCGUUGUCUUUGGAGCCAGGGGACCAGUGGUGGAAGCCGAAGGCCAGGCCAGGCUGCGUGGGGCCGAGACCCCUCCUCUGGCGGUGGUGGCAGGAGAGAUCCCAAGGUGAGGCAUGGCCUCGGGCUGUCUUGGUUUGGGUCAUCGGGGCCAGUGUUUUCCAUGUCUUUAAAAUGUCCUAUGUAGAAUCCCCAGGUGACUAAUCGUCCCUUGAGAACUAAGGCAUGAACCUUUAUGCUGGUUAAUUGACAAUAGGGAUUUCACCAAAGGAAGAUACAAUCUCUUUUGGUACUACUUAGAUCAUCAGGGAUAUUCAAGUGUCUUGUACUCUGAUUUUCGUUAAUCAAGUACUUCUUGUUAUGAAGGAAACAUUAAAUUGAUCCCAAAACAUGAACAUGGGAAGUGACAUUGGCCUAAUGUACCCGUGAUGAUUAGAACAUGGGUCAGGUGCCAGUGGUGAGUCAUGAAUGACGCAUGAUAAGGGUCUGAAGCCCUGUGGCCCCACACAGUCCAUCCUCUUUGGCUCUGUUUAGGCCAUCCUGUGGACAGGUGUUAGGAACACAGAAAGUUCGGGUUCUUACAGCGUAUACGUUUUCAAAGUAUUCAUACAGCAAGGAGAACACCAUGAAAGUUAUAGGUAAUAGUUGAAGAGCAUAUGUUGUUGUCUAAUUAUGAGCAAAUAUGUUGAAGAAAGAAAUAUUAAUCAAAAUUGCCAACAGCAGCGCUCCUUAUGAGAUAAGUCAGUCAAACGGUCACCUUUGUGGCCAAUUAUCAGAGAGACUUGAAGAGUUGUAAGUGUUAGAAAUUUCCUGUAUUGUUGUGAGUCAGUUUCAAGUUUGAGGUAGUUCUUUCAGUCAAGAGACAAAACAGUCUCUAAAGCAUGGCUAUGCUUUACAUUGUUAAGUAACAGGGCAGAUGAAAUGUAGAGGCAAGACGCGACGGUGAUCCCUUUUCUUUUCUUUCUCUUUUUCAUCAUUGGCUGUGCUUUGUGCUGUCAAACGUGCUCACGCUGGAGCGGAUUGAGCGUGAUCCCACGGUGACGUCACACGUCUUCUUGGGUGUUGUGAAUGAUUGAGUGUCUGAAUGACUGUGUGGGAAUUGCUGAAUCCGUCAAUGAAGUAAUACACGUGAAGGAGGCACAGAGACCCCGUCACGGACCAGUGAUGAGGCGCGUGACGGGAAGAGUCCUGAAGGAAGAAAGCAUCUCUGAAACUCUGAGGAUGAAGGCGUUAGAGAUGGUUGAACAUCUGCCACGGGCACGGGCUCGGUGGUUGCCUCUAUAUAGUAGAAUGGAGAUUAAUGUGAGUAACGGCUGAGUUUCUUUGCUUGGACUUUUUCGAUUCGAGUGAUUACUGUACUAUUAAGAAAUGUGGGGGAGUUUCCUGACAGCGGUGGGUUAAGGAUCCGGCUUUCCCUGGGUCGGUGCUGUGGUGUGGGUUUGAUGACGGGCGUGGGAACUUUCUUGUGCCACAGUCCCGGGGAAGAAAAUAAGUAAAUCCGGGUACGGAAUCCAAAAGAAAUGCAGAAUCUAAGUAGCGGAGGCAGCGGCAUCUGAGUGUUGAGUAUGGAGUAUAGACCAUGAUAUAGAUUAAGGCACCUAUAGCGAAAGAGAGCGUUGGUCUGAGAUGUGUUAGGGGAAGAAUGAUUCGAGGUGCUUGUUUAGUAUGUUGUUUGUAAAAGGUACUUCUAAAAUGAUUCCUCACUUUUUGAUUUGAUUAAUUUAUUUUGGUCCUUGUGUGGAAAACAGAAGUUUCCAGGCCAAGGAUCCAAUCCCGGCCACAGUAGUGACAAGGCUGAUCCUUAAGUGCUCGGCCCCAGAGAACCACUGCAUGUUUUCAAUUGAGUCGACAAAGAAAUUAGAGUGUUAAGUAGGAAAGGGGGACAGUAUUGGAUCGAUGAUGACUACUGGUGGCGUAUGAGUCGUGUACGAUGAAUACGUGUCUGGAACGCUGAGGUCCAAUGUCCUCCGUGCCGUGACCCUCGCGGGCGAGGCCAGGCAUCCAGGGGGGCCGUCCGUGUGUCCUCUGGGGGGCCUUCCUGGUGCUUGCGUUCGCCCAGUGGGCCAGUGGGAGCCCCUGUGGACCAGCCUGCCAGAACUGAAGGAGGAGAGCGAGGGAGGGCCGGCAUUCCCAAGGCGCCAGGUCCCUGGUGACCCCACCCCCCAUGGUCUGCCUCUUGCCAUGCCAUGGGCUGCAGGUUGGCCAGAGGUCUUGGGCUGAUGUCCCCGAGGCUGAGGCCGUGGGGCAAGGGUGAGGUAGGCAGGGUCAGGGAGGGCCCACCUCUGUCCCGGGGCUGGGCGGCCAGCUGGUGGUUGGUGGGUGUCCCGAGACAGGGCUGUGCCCUGCCAGCAGGGUUGCCCCGAUGGAGGCGUGCAUGUGGAAGCCGCGAGCCUGGAGAAUGGCUGUGCCAUUGGGUCUCCUGCUCUUGGCUUUGUACUCUUCAGCAGGCAGCCGCCAGGCCCGAAGGCCGGCUCCUUCCUGGAUGAGCAGGCGAGGAUGGCAGCGUUGUCUUUGGAGCCAGGGGACCAGUGUGAGCAGCAUCCCAGGGCUUGUCGGGGCUGGGCUGGGCAGGGCAGUGCGAGGGGCUGGUGGAGGGUGGGCGGCAGAUGCGGGCGAGGCCAGCAGUCCAGAAGGGCUCUGGCGUCCCAGGGAUGGGACAGCUCUGGCUAGGAAGGUCUCUUGGACGUCCUGCACAGGGGCCCAGCUGGUCCUCCGCGGCCCAGAGAGACCGAAAGCCAGGGGACGGGUCCUAGAGGCUCCCCGAGGGAUGGCGAGGCCUCGUUGGGUGGGGCGGGCCCCUUGGGUUGCCCAGUGGCCGUGCGGGGAGGAAUGCCUGACUCCACGGGCCAUGGCGAAGGAAGAGAAGGUCCCCCUUUUCUGGAUCGAUGAUGAUCAAUGCCAGCGUAUGAGGCAUCGAUGACGAAUAAUGUGUGUCUGGAACUCUGAGGUCCACUCGCAAGGAAACGGGGCCUUUCUCUUCCUGCCUUUCCAUCCUCGAGCCCAACGGGGCAGCGCCGACCGCCCGAGGAGCCCAGUCGAUGGCGUCUCACUGUGGGUGUCACCUUGUCUCUUGGGUCUCCCUUAUAGGGUGGAAGCCGAAGGCCAGGCCAGGCUGCGUGGGGCCGAGACCCCUCCUCUGGCGGAGGUGGCAGGAGAGAUCCCAAGGUGAGGCAUGGCCUCGGGCUGUCUUGGUUUGGGUCAUCGGGGCCAGUGUUUUCCAUGUCUUUAAAAUGUCCUAUGUAGAAUCCCCAGGUGACUAAUCGUCCCUUGAGAACUAAGGCAUGAACCUUUAUGCUGGUUAAUUGACAAUAGGGAUUUCACCAAAGGAAGAUACAAUCUCUUUUGGUACUACUUAGAUCAUCAGGGAUAUUCAAGUGUCUUGUACUCUGAUUUUCGUUAAUCAAGUACUUCUUGUUAUGAAGGAAACAUUAAAUUGAUCCCAAAACAUGAACAUGGGAAGUGACAUUGGCCUAAUGUACCCGUGAUGAUUAGAACAUGGGUCAGGUCCAGUGGUGAGUCAUGAAUGACGCAUGAUAAGGGUCUGAAGCCCUGUGGCCCCACACAGUCCAUCCUCUUUGGCUCUGUUUAGGCCAUCCUGUGGACAGGUGUUAGGAACACAGAAAGUUCGGGUUCUUACAGCGUAUACGUUUUCAAAGUAUUCAUACAGCAAGGAGAACACCAUGAAAGUUAUAGGUAAUAGUUGAAGAGCAUAUGUUGUUGUCUAAUUAUGAGCAAAUAUGUUGAAGAAAGAAAUAUUAAUCAAAAUUGCCAACAGCAGCGCUCCUUAUGAGAUAAGUCAGUCAAACGGUCACCUUUGUGGCCAAUUAUCAGAGAGACUUGAAGAGUUGUAAGUGUUAGAAAUUUCCUGUAUUGUUGUGAGUCAGUUUCAAGUUUGAGGUAGUUCUUUCAGUCAAGAGACAAAACAGUCUCUAAAGCAUGGCUAUGCUUUACAUUGUUAAGUAACAGGGCAGAUGAAAUGUAGAGGCAAGACGCGACGGUGAUCCCUUUUCUUUUCUUUCUCUUUUUCAUCAUUGGCUGUGCUUUGUGCUGUCAAACGUGCUCACGCUGGAGCGGAUUGAGCGUGAUCCCACGGUGACGUCACACGUCUUCUUGGGUGUUGUGAAUGAUUGAGUGUCUGAAUGACUGUGUGGGAAUUGCUGAAUCCGUCAAUGAAGUAAUACACGUGAAGGAGGCACAGAGACCCCGUCACGGACCAGUGAUGAGGCGCGUGACGGGAAGAGUCCUGAAGGAAGAAAGCAUCUCUGAAACUCUGAGGAUGAAGGCGUUAGAGAUGGUUGAACAUCUGCCACGGGCACGGGCUCGGUGGUUGCCUCUAUAUAGUAGAAUGGAGAUUAAUGUGAGUAACGGCUGAGUUUCUUUGCUUGGACUUUUUCGAUUCGAGUGAUUACUGUACUAUUAAGAAAUGUGGGGGAGUUUCCUGACAGCGGUGGGUUAAGGAUCCGGCUUUCCCUGGGUCGGUGCUGUGGUGUGGGUUUGAUGACGGGCGUGGGAACUUUCUUGUGCCACAGUCCCGGGGAAGAAAAUAAGUAAAUCCGGGUACGGAAUCCAAAAGAAAUGCAGAAUCUAAGUAGCGGAGGCAGCGGCAUCUGAGUGUUGAGUAUGGAGUAUAGACCAUGAUAUAGAUUAAGGCACCUAUAGCGAAAGAGAGCGUUGGUCUGAGAUGUGUUAGGGGAAGAAUGAUUCGAGGUGCUUGUUUAGUAUGUUGUUUGUAAAAGGUACUUCUAAAAUGAUUCCUCACUUUUUGAUUUGAUUAAUUUAUUUUGGUCCUUGUGUGGAAAACAGAAGUUUCCAGGCCAAGGAUCCAAUCCCGCCACAGUAGUGACAAGGCUGAUCCUUAAGUGCUCGGCCCCAGAGAACCACUGCAUGUUUUCAAUUGAGUCGACAAAGAAAUUAGAGUGUUAAGUAGGAAAGGGGGACAGUAUUGGAUCGAUGAUGACUACUGGUGGCGUAUGAGUCGUGUACGAUGAAUACGUGUCUGGAACGCUGAGGUCCAAUGUCCUCCGUGCCGUGACCCUCGCGGGCGAGGCCAGGCAUCCAGGGGGGCCGUCCGUGUGUCCUCUGGGGGGCCUUCCUGGUGCUUGCGUUCGCCCAGUGGGCCAGUGGGAGCCCCUGUGGACCAGCCUGCCAGAACUGAAGGAGGAGAGCGAGGGAGGGCCGGCAUUCCCAAGGCGCCAGGUCCCUGGUGACCCCACCCCCCAUGGUCUGCCUCUUGCCAUGCCAUGGGCUGCAGGUUGGCCAGAGGUCUUGGGCUGAUGUCCCCGAGGCUGAGGCCGUGGGGCAAGGGUGAGGUAGGCGGGUCAGGGAGGGCCCACCUCUGUCCCGGGGCUGGGCGGCCAGCUGGUGGUUGGUGGGUGUCCCGAGACAGGGCUGUGCCCUGCCAGCAGGGUUGCCCCGAUGGAGGCGUGCAUGUGGAAGCCGCGAGCCUGGAGAAUGGCUGUGCCAUUGGGUCUCCUGCUCUUGGCUUUGUACUCUUCAGCAGGCAGCCGCCAGGCCCGAAGGCCGGCUCCUUCCUGGAUGAGCAGGCGAGGAUGGCAGCGUUGUCUUUGGAGCCAGGGGACCAGUGGUGGAAGCCGAAGGCCAGGCCAGGCUGCGUGGGGCCGAGACCCCUCCUCUGGCGGUGGUGGCAGGAGAGAUCCCAAGGUGAGGCAUGGCCUCGGGCUGUCUUGGUUUGGGUCAUCGGGGCCAGUGUUUUCCAUGUCUUUAAAAUGUCCUAUGUAGAAUCCCAGGUGACUAAUCGUCCUUGAGAACUAAGGCAUGAACCUUUAUGCUGGUUAAUUGACAAUAGGGAUUUCACCAAAGGAAGAUACAAUCUCUUUUGGUACUACUUAGAUCAUCAGGGAUAUUCAAGUGUCUUGUACUCUGAUUUUCGUUAAUCAAGUACUUCUUGUUAUGAAGGAAACAUUAAAUUGAUCCCAAAACAUGAACAUGGGAAGUGACAUUGGCCUAAUGUACCCGUGAUGAUUAGAACAUGGGUCAGGUCCCAGUGGUGAGUCCAUGAAUGUCGC